UACGGGGGGGGCAAGCGUUGUUCGGAAUUACUGGGCGUAAAGAGCGCGCAGGCGGUCGUGCAAGUCGCGUGUGAAAGCCCCCGGCUCAACUGGGGAGGGUCACGCGAUACUGCUCGACUCGAAGGCAGGAGAGGGAUGCGGAAUUCCAGGUGUAGCGGUGAAAUGCGUAGAUAUCUGGAGGAACACCGGUGGCGAAGGCGGCAUCCUGGACCGGCAUUGACGCUGAGGCGCGAAAGCUAGGGGAGCAAACGGG
rnacentral:rRNA from 1 species